rnacentral:rRNA from 1 species
AUACGUAGGGGGCGAGCGUUGUCCGAAAUGAUUGGGCGUAAAGGGCGCGUAGGCGGCCCGGUAAGUCUGGAGUGAAAGUCCUGCUUUUAAGGUGGGAAUUGCUUUGGAUACUGUCGGGCUUGAGUGCAGGAGAGGUAAGUGGAAUUCCCAGUGUAGCGGUGAAAUGCGUAGAGAUUGGGAGGAACACCAGUGGCGAAGGCGACUUACUGGACUGUAACUGACGCUGAGGCGCGAAAGUGUGGGGAGCAAACAGGAUUAGAUACCCUGGUAGUCCACACUGUAAACGAUGAAUGCUAGGUGUAGGGGGUAUCGACCCCUUCUGUGCCGCAGUUAACACAAUAAGCAUUCCGCCUGGGGAGUACGGCCGCAAGGUUGAAACUUAAAGGAAUUGACGGGG